CACGUAGUUAGCCGGCGCUUUCUCUGCAGGUACCGUCAAUUUCUCUUCUUCCCUGCUAACAGAGGUUUACAACCCGAAGGCCGUCAUCCCUCACGCGGCGUCGCUGCAUCAGGCUUGCGCCCAUUGUGCAAUAUUCCCCACUGCUGCCUCCCGUAGGAGUCUGGGCCGUGUCUCAGUCCCAGUGUGGCCGGUCACCCUCUCAGGCCGGCUACCCGUCGUCGCCUUGGUGAGCCGUUACCUCACCAACAAGCUGAUAGGCCGUGAGCCCAUCUAUAACCACUACAUAACGCUUUCCACCAACACCCCAUGCGGAGAUUGGCGUAUCCGGUAUUAGACCCAGUUUCCCGGGCUUAUCCCAGAGUUAAAGGUAGGUUACUCACGUAUUACUCACCCGUUCGCCACUAAUCCACCUAGCAAGCUAGGCUUCAUCGUUCGACUUGCAUGUGUUAAGCACGCCGCAGCGUUCGUCCUGAGCCAGGAUCAAACUCU
rnacentral:rRNA from 1 species